CUAUGAAAAAAAAAAAAUCCUGUGAAGAGAGAGGGAGGGAGUGUGUAUAUUUACCUAGUUGGGAUAUGUGGGGAGGAAAGCUGAGCUCAUGCUGUCCUGUCUCUGUAUCUACAUAUGUGUUUGUGUGUGUGUGUGCUUGCAUAUACCUAGUUUACUUGUGCUCAUACAUAUACAUGUGAAUGUUCCAGAUUGCGUUUAUUAUAUAUUUCCAUAUCUUUUUCCAGAUCUCCCAGCAGAUACACUGACCAUGAAAGUUCUGAAGAGGACUGCUUUAGUUCAAGGGCUAAGACAAAAGCUUCCAGCAGUAUUAGGGAUGUGGAGGUAAAAUCCAAAGACCAGAUUGCAAGACCAGUUCCACCUAGGCCAUCUGUACCGAGCUGUAUUGUGUCACAGCCACAGCUACCACCACCUGAGAGUCUGGAUGUAAAUGGUAAUGCAGUUUCUUCUUUUGAAGUCACUUAACACUGUGAUAGGGAAGUUGUUACAUUUGACUUGAAAUGCAGUUCAAGUAUACUCCAGUUUUGGGCCGUAACUACUAUUGUGCUGGUAUUGUUAUAUGUUAAUAUCUUGGUAUGACAGGUUAUUAUGUGCUCAUAAGUGAUAUGUUCUAAAAAAUUACAGCCGAGAUGCAAGAAUCUUUAUGGUGUUGGAAGAACUACGUGCUAUACUGCAUUCCCACUCCACCAAGCUGAAUACUCUCCUCAGACACCACAGUGUGCAAGAACAAGAUCAAGCAGUACCAGAGGGCAUUCACUUCCCUGUGAAGGAUAUGAAUGAAAUGGAAGCCCUAGAAAGCAAACUGAUGGAUCCUGACCUAGAGAAGAAAGUUAUUGCAAGUCUGUAUGUAAUAGGUGGAUCAGGUCUUCCAGACACAGUGAGGCGCAUUCUGCGAUACACUGUGAGCAACUCCUUGGCCAUCCACUUCAAUUGGUGUGGCAAAGGAAUGAAACGGAGCUUUUGCACAAUGAAGCUGAAGGAUACAAUAAUUAAUUUGAGUAUAUUGAAGUUUACUGAGUUAAAGGCAGAUUUCCUAUUGACAGAAAGUGUCCACAAGAAUGCAGAGCACAAGAGUGCAACAGCUGCCUCAAUUGAAAAAGUAAUGAAGGAGUGGUUUCGAACAGCCAGAGAUCGAGAUGGAGGCCGUCGGAGGAGAGAUGUAAGAACUUGUGAGAGCAGUGAUACUGCCUAGACUUUCUGGCAUUGCAUAUUCAAAGUUCUCUCUCUUGCUCUCUCUUUGUGCAUUAAUGCAUCAUAAAAUACUCAGUUUACUGGUACCAUUCCAGGCUUUCAUGCCACAGUGACACCACUCAUUCCAGUCUCCCUCCAUGUAUCCUGAAGCUCUCAUCCCACUUCUCCAUUCACCUUAACAUGCACCUGUGUCCCUUUGAUGUGCUUUCACACCUCUUAAUGAUCUACCUGCUCCAUAUGCACACCUCCCGUCACAUUCCACAUAGCCCACAGUCAGUCCUGUUAGAUGCAUUUUCCUCAUUUAUAAAUGCCUGUACCUUAAUUUCAUUCUUUUGGCUGUAAUGUUUCAUCUGUACAUUAGUAGUUAAUUGAAAUGUUGUGGACAGCAUUGCUGUAAUGGAAGCCACUUUUUUUUUUUUUUUUUUCUGUAGGAUGUAGGGAUAGGAUUAUUAUGAUAUUAAUUAUGUAAAUACUCAGUUUAGGAAUAGAGCUCAGGAUAGCUAAUGGUAAUUUUGUACUUAACACUGAUGCAAAGAUUAGGCAUUUGUUAUUGCUUGUUUCAAGGGUGCUCGCAGUGUUUUCAUGUUGCUGACUAAUGAUUAAUACUUGUGGUGCUGAGAAUUAUAUUGGUGCAAGAAUACUAAUUGUUCAGUUCUUAAAGAAAUCUUUUUUUGUAGCUACACACAAUGUAUUACCAAAGUGUGUGUGUGUGUGUGUGUGUGUUGUAGCUGUUCAGUAUUAAAUUGUUUUAAGUUCUCUGACAGUUGAUUCAUAAACUAUACUUUAAACAGAGUUAAUCAUUGGUAAGAUUUAAAGUAAAGAUGUGAAAGACUAUAUCCUCAGGCUGAAAAUAGUAAAUACAUAAGUAAUAUCAGGUGCUAUCACUAAGGCAUAAAGAGUAAGAAUGUGUACCAUGAUAUUGUUGUAGUUGUAAGGAAUGAUGACAAGGGCCAGGAAUCCC